GGACAACAAUUGGAGUCUACAUAAUUUGGUUUUGAGGUUUAUUUAUGUCCCGACUCCACAUACAUCAUUGGCUCUUUCAAGAGAAAUGUUGAAAUGUAUUUUGGAUUGGAAUCUUGAGAGAAAGUUGUCUGCAAUAACUGUUGAUAAUUGUUCAACUAAUGAUGCUUUAAUUGAGCACGUUGUGUCCAAGCUUAA